GGCUCGGUAGCUUAGUUGUUAAAGCACUCGUCUAGCAUAUAAGAGUGGUAGGUUCAAACCCUACAUGAGCAC
rnacentral:tRNA from 1 species